AAAUAACAAUACGGGGCCUAAUGUCUUGUAAUUGGAAUGAUGGGAAUUUAAACCUCUUCCAGAGUAUCAAUUGGAGGGCAAGUCUGGUGCCAGCAGCCGCGGUAAUUCCAGCUCCAAUAGCGUAUAUUAAAAUUGUUGCAGUUAAAAAGCUCGUAGUUGAAUUUCUGCUGCAUUACAUUUCUCUUUCUGAGUUUGUUUUUGCGGCUUAUUUCGGUUUGAUUUUUUCUUUCCGGAUGAUUACUUUGAGAAAAUUAGAGUGCUCAAAGCAGGCUUUUGCCUUGAAUAGUUUAGCAUGGAAUAAUAAAGUAGGACUUUGGUUCUAUUUUGUUGGUUUUAGGUACCAAAGUAAUGGUUAAUAGGAACAGUUGGGGGCAUUCGUAUUUA
rnacentral:rRNA from 1 species